CCCCUGCCUCCCAUCUUGAUGUCUAAUAGGUCAAUCUUUCAAGAACACUUGUGGGGAGACCUGUGUCCUGGUCUGGAUCAGAGAUGUGAUGUAUUAACUUUCAGAGUCCUCCUUCACCCCGGCCUAUGUUUUACGGCUAGUGAGGGAAGUCUUUCCUGCCAGGAGAUGUUCAUUGAAGUGCAGACUGCUCGGAGCCACACCGCAGGCUGGCAGAGGAAGUGUCUCGGUGUUGCCUUGGCCCGUUCACCCCCUGCCAGGCCAGUAGAGGAGCUGAAGAGUCUUCGCCAUGGUUUGAGAAAAAGUUUCUUCUUUGUUGGUUUCUGACAUGCUUCCUCUACAUGAAGAUCUCCAGCAACUCCAGGGUAACAUGAACCUUUCAGCUUAUGAUCUCAAAGGGAGAAGGAGUUUUCCUCUAGCAGCAUCCAUAUUUGUCCCCUUUCCGAAGAUCUCUGAUUAGCCCUGUUUGGAUCACAUGAUCUUUCCUGGACCAAUCACUGUUUCCAGGAGCUAUAUCCCCUAUGGUAGAAGAGACAGGGGAAGCUUCUUGACAACUCUAUGGAAUCCUGACCAUUAAGGAUGGGUUAGACCCACAGCUUAUAGAGGCCUGAGGCUGGAGGCAGGGGGAUCAGUGAGGAGGCUGCAGCAUCAGUCCAGCAUCUCCAAGCCUCUCUCCAAGUUCGCUCCAGGGCUUGCGAGAAACAAAGUGCUCUCCCUCAGCCCCAGCUCCUCGCACACCCAGUGGAAAGAAAACACUUGCUGUAAUUGGAAAGCCCCGAGAAGGUUGAGAGCACUUUUGUUUUCUUCAUCUCUGCGUCCUUAUUUCUUGGAACACUACCUGGCAAACCAUGGGUGCACCAUGCAGCAAGUUAAGGUCGCCGAAGUAGAAUUGCGUAUUAAGCCAGUGUCUCCAUCCAGACUUUUUUUUAGCAAGCAUACCUUAGGAAACUGAACUUCGCUUGAAACUGAAACUACCCUCCCAAAAUCAUCUCCAAGGGUUAUUUACAGACUAAAUGAGACAGUGUAUAUCUAACAUUGCUUUGUGGAUGCUAUCAAGUGCUGGCAAAUGUGUGGGAGAAUGAAUGGAAAACUUCAUCAAUUUCUAGGAUAGUAAAUUGGUGCUGCUAUUUUGGAGAGCAAUUUGUCAGCCUUCAGGGGAAACUGAAUAUGCACAUCCUCUAAGACCCAGCAGUUUCACUUCAAAGAAAAUUUCUUAUAUGCACAGAGACUUGUACAAGGAUAUUUAUCACAGCACUGUUUGUAAUAACAAAGGGCUGGAAAUAAACCAAAUGGCCAAUGAUAAGAAUUGAUAAAUGUGGUAAAUGCCUAAAAUAGAAUGUCACACAGCAGUUAAAAAAUCAUUUAUUCACUAAUUAAGCAAAGGACAAAAAGCCUCAACAGAAAAAAAAAGACAAAAGCCUUGAAUAGUCACUUUGCCAAAUGUUCAAUACACGUACAAAAACAUGGGCAAGUUCAUUGGUUGUCAAGGAAGUUCGAAUUAAAGCCACAUUUUGCAGGUACAACACUGGCACAAGUUUAAGUCUGAUGAUACCAAGUCUUGGAGAAGGUUGAAGCUACUGGAAAACCUGCCCUCUGCUGGUGGGAGUGCAAAUUGCUCCAAGCUCUUUGGACAAUAAUUUGGCAUCCUCUAGUGAAGUUGAAGAUGUGUGUGCUUGAGACUCAGCAAUUCCCCUUUGUGACAUCAGGAUGCUCCCGCACAUAUGCUUAAGAACAUUCAUGCCAGCUUUGUUUAUAUAACAAAAACGUGGAAAUAACCCAAAUGUCUGAGGAUGGGGAAUGGACAAAUAAUGGUUCAUAGUUAUGAAAAUGAAUACACAACAGCUACAAGCAUCUACUGGAAUGAAUCUCACAUGCAUUGUGUUGUAGAAGAAUAUGUAUAAUUCCAUUUAUGUAAAGUUUAAAAGCAUGCACAACUAAAUGAUAUGUUAUUUAUGAGUAUAUGACAUAUAUGAUAAAGGCAAAGAAUAAAUAAAGUAAGGAAAGGUAAGACAA